CACCUCGAGCAUUACUAGUAUUCGAGGCACUGCCUGCCCAGUGACCAAGCGUUAAACGGCCGCGGUACUCUGACCGUGCAAAGGUAGCAUAAUCAUUUGUUCCUUAAUUAGGGACUUGUAUGAACGGCCACACGAGGGUUUAACUGUCUCUUUCCUCUAAUCAAUGAAAUUGACCUUCUCGUGAAGAGGCGAGAAUAAACAUAUAAGACGAGUAGACCCUAUGGAGCUUAAAUUAACUAAUUUAAUUGCUAUACUAUAAAUCUAUAAGAUACAACUAAACAGCAUAAUAAAUUAACAAUUUUGGUUGGGGUGACCUCGGAGAAGAAAAAAACCUCCGAACGAUAUUAUAAUUCAGACUCUACAAGUCAAAAUUUACUAAUCGCUUAUUGACCCAAUACUUGAUCAACGGAACAAGUUACCCUAGGGAUAACAGCGCAAUCCUACUCUAGAGUCCCUAUCGACAGCAGGGUUUACGACCUCGAUGUUGGAUCAGGACAUCCUAAUGGUGCAGCCGCUAUUAGGGGUUCGUUUGUUCAACGAUUAAAGCCCU
rnacentral:rRNA from 1 species